rnacentral:rRNA from 1 species
GACGAACGCUGGCGGCGUGCUUAACACAUGCAAGUCGAACGCUGAAGCUUGGUGCUUGCUCUGGGUGGAUGAGUGGCGAACGGGUGAGUAAUACGUGAGUAACCUGCCCUUGACUCUGGGAUAAGCCUGGGAAACUGGGUCUAAUACUGGAUACGACAUGCAACUGCAUGGUGGUGUGUGGAAAGGGGUUUAUUGGUUUUGGAUGGGCUCACGGCCUAUCAGCUUGUUGGUGGGGUAAUGGCCGACCAAGGCGACGACGGGUAGCCGGCCUGAGAGGGUGACCGGCCACACUGGGACUGAGACACGGCCCAGACUCCUACGGGAGGCAGCAGUGGGGAAUAUUGCACAAUGGGCGGAAGCCUGAUGCAGCGACGCCGCGUGAGGGAUGACGGCCUUCGGGUUGUAAACCUCUUUCAGCACGGAAGAAGCGAGAGUGACGGUACGUGCAGAAGAAGCGCCGGCUAACUACGUG